GUUUGAUCCUGGCUCAGAUUGAACGCUGGCGGCAUGCCUUACACAUGCAAGUCGAACGGUAACAGGGAGCUUGCUCCGCUGACGAGUGGCGAACGGGUGAGUAAUACAUCGGAACGUGCCCUGUAGUGGGGGAUAACUAGUCGAAAGAUUAGCUAAUACCGCAUACGACCUGAGGGUGAAAGCGGGGGAUCUUCGGACCUCGCGCUAUUGGAGCGGCCGAUGGCAGAUUAGCUAGUUGGUG
rnacentral:rRNA from 1 species